UGAGGAAUUUUCCACAAUGGGCGAAAGCCUGAUGGAGCAAUACCGCGUGAAGGAUGAAGCAUUUCGGUGUGUAAACUUCUUUUUAAUGGGAAGAUUAUGACGGUACCAUUUGAAUAAGCAUCGGCUAACUACGUGCCAGCAGCCGCGGUAAUACGUAGGAUGCAAGCGUUAUCCGGAAUUAUUGGGCGUAAAGAGUUUGUAGGUGGCAUGUUAAGUUGAAUGUUAAAUCUCAGGGCUCAACUCUGGGGCUGCAUUCAAUACUGGCAAGCUCGAGGUAUGGAGAGGUAAGCGGAAUUAGUAGUGUAGCGGUGAAAUGCGUAGAUAUUACUAAGAACACCAAUGGCGAAGGCAGCUUACUGGCCAUAUCCUGACACUGAGAAACGAAAGCGUGGGGAGCGAACAGG
rnacentral:rRNA from 1 species